rnacentral:rRNA from 1 species
GAUGAACGCUGGCGGUGUGCUUGACACAUGCAAGUUGAACGAGGUGAUUAUUUAGGUUUAUCUUAAAUAUCAUUCGUGGCGAACGGGCGAGUAAUACGCAAGUAUCUACCUUUAGGACCGAGAAUAACCCACAGAAAUGAGGGACAAUCCUUGAUAUGCUGAGAAGUGAAAGAUUAAGUUCGCCUAGAGAUGAGCUUGCGCUUGAUUAGCUUGUUGGUGGGGUAAGAGCCUACCAAGGCGAUGAUCAAUAGUCGGUUUGAGAGGAUGAUCGGCCGCAUUGAAAUUGAGAACGGUUCAAACUUCUACGGAAGGCUGCAGUGAGGAAUUUUCCGCAAUGGACGAAAGUCUGACGGAGCAACACCGCGUGAUGGAAGAAGGUCCAAGGAUUGUAAACAUCUUUAAUUACUAAACAUAAUGAUAGUAGGUAAUCAAAAAGCGUCAGCUAACUACGUGCCAGCAGCCGCGGUAAAAC